UUUUGCCAAUGAUGAUGCAAGUUAUCCCUGUCAGACUAGACUGGUGACAAAAAUAAACUGAGGCAAAU